rnacentral:misc_RNA from 1 species
GAUGAAGAACUCAGCGAAAUGCGAUAAGUAAUGUGAAUUGCAGAAUUCAGUGAAUCAUCGAAUCUUUGAACGCACAUUGCGCCCCCUGGUAUUCCGGGGGGCAUGCCUGUCCGAGCGUCAUUACAACCCUCAAGCUCAGCUUGGUGUUGGGCCCCGCCGCCCCGGCGGGCCCUAAAGUCAGUGGCGGUGCCGUCCGGCUCCGAGCGUAGUAAUUCUUCUCGCUCUGGAGGUCCGGUCGUGUGCUCGCCAGCAACCCCCAAUUUUUUUCAGGUUGACCUCGGAUCAGGUAGGGAUACCCGCUGAACUUAAGCAUAUCAAUAAGCGGAGGA